UACGUAGGGUGCGAGCGUUAAUCGGAAUUACUGGGCGUAAAGCGUGCGCAGGCGGCGCCGCAAGUCGAGUGUGAAAUCCCCGAGCUUAACUUGGGAAUUGCGCUCGAAGCUACGGUGCUGGAGUGUGGCAGAGGGAGGUGGAAUUCCACGUGUAGCGGUGAAAUGCGUAGAGAUGUGGAGGAACACCGAUGGCGAAGGCAGCCUCCUGGGCCAACACUGACGCUCAUGCACGAAAGCGUGGGGAGCAAACAGG
rnacentral:rRNA from 1 species